rnacentral:rRNA from 1 species
GAUGACCGCUGACAGCAUGCUUAACACAUCAGCAAUUGCUUGGUGGCGGUCGGGUGAGUAACGCGUAAAGAAAUUGCCUCUCAGCUUGGGACAACAUUUAGAAAUGAAUGCUACUACUUGCUACUGUGAGAGAGUUUUGCGUCCCUUUAGCUAGUUGGUGAGUUAACAGCUCACCAAGGCGAUGAUGGGUAGCCGGCCUGAGAGGGUGAACGGCCACAAGGGGACUGAGACACGGCCCUUACUACUACGGGAGGCAGGAGUAGAGAAUAUUGGACAAAGGACCGGAGGCUGAGCCAGCAAUUCUGUGUGAAAGAUGAAGUUUUCGGAAUGUAAAGUGCUUUCAGUUGGGAAGCGGUACCAACAGAAGAAGUGACGGCUAAAUACGUGCCAGCAGCCGCGGUAAUUC